rnacentral:rRNA from 1 species
UACGUAGGGUGCGAGCGUUUAAUCGGAAUUACUGGGCGUAAAGAGCGCGCAGGCGGUCGUUCAAGUCGCGUGUGAAAGCCCCCGGCUCAACUGGGGAGGGUCACGCGAUACUGAUCGACUGGAAGGCAGGAGAGGGUAGUGGAAUUCCCGGUGUAGUGGUGAAAUGCGUAGAUAUCGGGAGGAACACCAGGUGGCGAAGGCGACUACCUGGCCUGUUCUUGACGCUGAGGCGCGAAAGCGUGGGAGCA